UGAUUGUCCAUUCGCAUUUCUUGCUGUUUCCUUGUGUAAAACACUGUUUCUCAAGAUGUGUGUAUGGGCAUC
rnacentral:pre_miRNA from 1 species